GUCAACCGAAGGGUGGCUAAUGAGAGACGACAAGCGACUGAAGAAGGGACGAGAGGGUCAAGCCUCCAAUUAGCCGGAGGUCAGAGGUCAGGGACCGGGUCCUCUCCUCUAACAUAUGGCUCUAAAAGCUGAUGGCCUACUCUUCAACAACAGUUUUCACAGUGUCUCUCAGAUGCCAAUAAUAGACUUGUCCAUCAGCCUCUCCC